AGAGUUUGAUCCUGGCUCAGGAUGAACGCUGGCGGCGUGCCUAAUACAUGCAAGUCGAGCGAACGGACGAGAAGCUUGCUUCUCUGAUGUUAGCGGCGGACGGGUGAGUAACACGUGGAUAACCUACCUAUAAGACUGGGAUAACUUCGGGAAACCGGAGCUAAUACCGGAUAAUAUUUUGAACCGCAUGGUUCAAAAGUGAAAGACGGUCUUGCUGUCACUUAUAGAUGGAUCGCGCUGCAUUAGCUAGUUGGUAAGGUAACGGCUUACCAAGGCAACGAUGCAUAGCCGACCUGAGAGGGUGAUCGGCCACACUGGAACUGAGACACGGUCCAGACUCCUACGGGAGGCAGCAGUAGGGAAUCUUCCGCAAUGGGCGAAAGCCUGACGGAGCAACGCCGCGUGAGUGAUGAAGGUCUUCGGAUCGUAAAACUCUGUUAUUAGGGAAGAACAUAUGUGUAAGUAACUGUGCACAUCUUGACGGUACCUAAUCAGAAAGCCACGGCUAACUACGUGCCAGCAGCCGCGGUAAUACGUAGGUGGCAAGCGUUAUCCGGAAUUAUUGGGCGUAAAGCGCGCGUAGGCGGUUUUUUAAGUCUGAUGUGAAAGCCCACGGCUCAACCGUGGAGGGUCAUUGGAAACUGGAAAACUUGAGUGCAGAAGAGGAAAGUGGAAUUCCAUGUGUAGCGGUGAAAUGCGCAGAGAUAUGGAGGAACACCAGUGGCGAAGGCGACUUUCUGGUCUGUAACUGACGCUGAUGUGCGAAAGCGUGGGGAUCAAACAGGAUUAGAUACCCUGGUAGUCCACGCCGUAAACGAUGAGUGCUAAGUGUUAGGGGGUUUCCGCCCCUUAGUGCUGCAGCUAACGCAUUAAGCACUCCGCCUGGGGAGUACGACCGCAAGGUUGAAACUCAAAGGAAUUGACGGGGACCCGCACAAGCGGUGGAGCAUGUGGUUUAAUUCGAAGCAACGCGAAGAACCUUACCAAAUCUUGACAUCCUUUGACAACUCUAGAGAUAGAGCUUUCCCCUUCGGGGGACAAAGUGACAGGUGGUGCAUGGUUGUCGUCAGCUCGUGUCGUGAGAUGUUGGGUUAAGUCCCGCAACGAGCGCAACCCUUAAGCUUAGUUGCCAUCAUUAAGUUGGGCACUCUAAGUUGACUGCCGGUGACAAACCGGAGGAAGGUGGGGAUGACGUCAAAUCAUCAUGCCCCUUAUGAUUUGGGCUACACACGUGCUACAAUGGACAAUACAAAGGGCAGCGAAACCGCGAGGUCAAGCAAAUCCCAUAAAGUUGUUCUCAGUUCGGAUUGUAGUCUGCAACUCGACUACAUGAAGCUGGAAUCGCUAGUAAUCGUAGAUCAGCAUGCUACGGUGAAUACGUUCCCGGGUCUUGUACACACCGCCCGUCACACCACGAGAGUUUGUAACACCCGAAGCCGGUGGAGUAACCUUUUAGGAGCUAGCCGUCGAAGGUGGGACAAAUGAUUGGGGUGAAGUCGUAACAAGGUAGCCGUAUCGGAAGGUGCGGCUG
rnacentral:rRNA from 1 species